rnacentral:rRNA from 1 species
GUCCACGCCGUAAACGAUGGAUACUAGCUGUUUGGUUGUAAGACUGAGUGGCUAAGCGAAAGUGAUAAGUAUCCCACCUGGGGAGUACGGGCGCAAGCCUGAAACUCAAAGGAAUUGACGGGGGCCCGCACAAGCGGUGGAGCAUGUGGUUUAAUUCGAUGAUACGCGAGGAACCUUACCAGGGCUUAAAUGUAGGUUGACAGGCUUGGAAACAGGUUUUUCUUCGGACAACUUACAAGGUGCUGCAUGGUUGUCGU